rnacentral:rRNA from 1 species
UACGGAGGAGGCAAGCGUUAUCCGGAAUUAUUGGGCGUAAAGCGUCCGUAGGUGGCACUUCAAGUCUGCGGUCAAAGACCGGGGCUUAACCCUGGAAAGGCCGUGGAAACUGAAGUGCUAGAGUGCAGUAGGGGUAGAGGGAAUUCCCGGUGUAGCGGUGAAAUGCGUAGAGCUCGGGAAGAACAUCGGUGGCGAAAACGCUCUACUGGACUGCAACUGACACUGAGGGACGAAAGCUAGGGGAGCGAAUGGG